rnacentral:tRNA from 32 species
GCCCAGGUAGCUCAGUUGGUAGAGCAGCGGACUGAAAAUCCGCGUGUCGGUGGUUCGAAUCCGCCCCUGGGCACCA